rnacentral:lncRNA from 1 species
GAUAUUUGAAGUCAUUGAGUUGUAUUGGGGCAUCCAGAAGACUCUUUAGGAAGCAAGGUUAGCAUAUGGGGUCCUAACUGGUCCACUCUCACUCCUGGGAGAGCCACGAGCUGCUCCCUGACUCCCUCCUUUUUAGAUCUAGAGGUCAAUUAGUUGGUGGUUUGGGGUUUGUGUUAGAUGCAAUUGAGCUAUAAUCCAACCAUGGCUGGGCCCCUAGCUUUACGGCCCAGGAUGUUUUUACUCCAUCGGUUUCUUGAAAUCGAAGCUAUUCGCUCUGAAUAAUUUGAUUGAAGUGAAAUUUUGAACAAAUAGGAUUUGCACUUGUAUGUGAAGCAAAAAUCUGCUAGUCGGUGAAACACGCAUAUUAGAACAUCCCAUUAACCUACAUCUUCCUUCACAAUCAACUCCUCUGUCGGUCGUCCCCCAACCACGAACACAUUUCCCAUUGCUUUUGUAUACUGUCCCAC